GAUCGUUCCGGUGGAGCAUGUGUUAUUCGAGCACGCGAAGAACCUUACCUAACUUGACAUCCUUCUGACCGGUCCUUAAUCGGACUUUUCGGUGCUUGCACUGACAGGAGUGACAGGUGGUGCAUGGUUGUCGUCAGCUCGUGUCGUGAGAUGUCGGGUUAAGUCCCGCAACGAGCGCAACCCCUAUCCUUAGUAGCCAGCAGUAAGAUGGGCACUCUAGGGAGACUGCCAGGGAUAACCUGGAGGAAGGCGGGGAUGACGUCAAAUCAUCAUGCCCCUUAUGUUUAGGGCUACACACGUGCUACAAUGGCUGCUACAAAGGGAAGCGACCUCGUGAGAGUGAGCAAACCUCAAAAAAGCAGUCCCAGUUCGGAUUGUAGUCUGCAACUCGACUACAUGAAGUUGGAAUCGCUAGUAAUCGCGAAUCAGAAUGUCGCGGUGAAUACGUUCCCGGGC
rnacentral:rRNA from 1 species